CCAGGACCGGAUGAGCGUUACCUAAACGGUGGACUUCCCUUCACCACGAAGGCAGCAUAUGAGCUAACCAUGUCAGAUGACCACGAUACGCAUUGUGUGUCCAUAUGGUCUUCCUGCGUCCCCAACCGUGUGAAGAUCUUUGCGUGGCUGCUCUUUCGUGAGCGACUCAACUCCAAAAGCAACUUCCUCCGCAAGCAUAUCGUCUCAGACUCACUUUGCCCGCGGUGCGUGUUCUAGGG
rnacentral:lncRNA from 1 species